rnacentral:rRNA from 1 species
GGGGUAAAAGGAGCACCGUUAGGGCGGGUUAAGUCAAGUCCAGGGGGGGAAAAGCCCCCGGGGCUUUAACCUGGGGAAUUGCAUUUUGGAUACUGGCUUGGGUUAGAGGUAUGGGUAGAGGGGAGGGUGGAAUUCCCAGGGGGUAGCGGGUGAAAUGGGGUAGAUAUUUGGGAGGAACAUCCAGGGGGGAAGGGCGGCCUCCCUGACCCAAUACUGACGCUGAGGGGCGAAAGCGUGGGGAGCAAACAGGGAUUAGAUACCCUGGUAGUCCACGCCGUAAACGAUGUCGACUAGCCGUCGGAUCCAUUUAAGGGUUUGGUGGCGCAGCUAACGCGAUAAGUCGGCCGCCUGGGGAGUACGGCCGCAAGGUUAAAACUCAAAGGAAUUGACGGGGGCCCGCACAAGCGGGGGAGCAUGUGGUUUAAUUCGAUGCAACGCGAAGAACCUUACCAGCCCUUGACAUCCUCGGAACUUGGCAGAGAUGCCUUGGUGCCUUCGGGAGCCGAGAGACAGGUGCUGCAUGGCUGUCGUCAGCUCGUGUCGUGAGAUGUUGGGUUAAGUCCCGUAACGAGCGCAACCCUUGUCCUUAGUUGCCAGCGGUUCGGCCGGGAACUCUAAGGAGACUGCCGGUGAUAAACCGGAGGAAGGUGGGGAUGACGUCAAGUCAUCAUGGCCCUUAUGGGCUGGGCUACACACGUGCUACAAUGGUCGGUACAGAGGGUUGCGAAGCCGCGAGGUGGAGCCAAUCCCAGAAAACCGAUCGUAGUCCGGAUUGCAGUCUGCAACUCGACUGCAUGAAGUCGGAAUCGCUAGUAAUCGCGAAUCAGCAUGUCGCGGUGAAUACGUUCCCGGGCCUUGUACACACCGCCCGUCACACCAUGGGAGUUGGUUGCACCAGAAGUAGAUAGCCUAACCUUCGGGAGGGCGUUUACCACGGUGUGAUCAAUGACUGGGGUGAAGUCGUAACAAGAUAGCC